rnacentral:tRNA from 1 species
ACCUGGGUGGCUCAGUAGGAAGAGCAUAAGACUGUUGAUCUUGGGGUCAUGAGUUUGAGCCCCACACUGGGUA